CCAACAGGGAUUGCCCCAGUAACGGCGAGUGAAGCGGCAGCAGCUCAAAUUUGAAAUCUGGGGCCCACGGCCCCCGAGUUGUAAUUUGGAGAGGCAUCUUCUGGGGGGAGCGCCGGCCCAUGUUCCUUGGAACAGGACGUCACAGAGGGUGAGAAUCCCGUGCGAGGCAGGUGGCCUCCUCCCAUGUGGAGGGCCUUCGACGAGUCGAGUUGUUUGGGAAUGCAGCUCCAAGUGGGUGGUAAAUUUCAUCUAAAGCUAAAUACUGGCGGGAGACCGAUAGCGCACAAGUAGAGUGAUCGAAAGAUGAAAAGCACUUUGAAAAUAGAGUCAAAAAGUACGUGAAAUUGUUGAAAGGGAAGCGCUUGAGACCAGACUCGGGCCCGGGCAAACACCGUGCUCUUCGGGGCCGUGCAAUUGCCCGGGCCUGGGCCAGCAUCAGUUGGUGUGGCGGGACAAAGGGGCGGGCAAUGUGGCUCCCCACGGGGAGUGUUAUUAGGCCCACCCUCAAUGCCGCCGA
rnacentral:rRNA from 1 species